rnacentral:misc_RNA from 1 species
GCCAAGCUAAGUCACACGCUGCCUGGGUCUCAUUUCAAUUCACCUUCCACUCUCACUCAAAAACCAAAUUCCACGUGAUCCUGUCAACCAGCAAAUCACUUCUCCAUCUUUAUCUCUCUCCUUUGCUACACACAAACCUUAUCUCUCCCUCUCUACUCUCUACCCUAAAAUCUCCCACACUCUUAGGAAUUCAAUUCCACGCAACUUCAACAUCCUUACUAUCUGAUCAUCUUCGUUUCCACGGAUCCAGCCGAAUCUUCAGUUCACUAUCUGUUUUUUUCUUCUCUGUAGUGCCGCCAUUUCUGUUUGAGAUGGUGGAGAAAUUGAGGUGAGUGGUGGUGAUUAUAUAUUUGUAUGUAUAGAUGAAGCAGCGGAAGGUGACGCAGCACCAGAAAUCUCACUUCAAAUGGAAGAGAAAAGUGUUUGCGGUGUUGUUGUUAGGGUUUUGUUUUGGGAGCUUGCUUUUGAUGCAAACUCAGUACACUCGAAUUCUGGCACUCUCUUCUCUGCAGUCUCGUUUCGUUCAGAAGCCGAAAAUUGCUUUUCUCUUUAUAGCUCGAAAUCGGCUUCCUCUCGAAAUUGUUUGGGAUGCGUUUCUUAAGGGCGCAGAAUCUAGAUUUUCAAUUUUUGUUCAUUCAAGGCCUGGGUUUCUGCUCAACAAGGCAACAACAAGAUCUGACUACUUUUUGAAUCGCCAAGUUAACAAUAGUAUACAGGUUGUCAUUCCUACCAUUUAAUGUCACACUGGAAAUGUGAGGCAAUUAUUAUAUUGCUGCUUCAUGUCAAGCUACAACCAUAUGAUGACUGAGUUUUAGUGGAGGCCAAAGGCGUUCCAACAAGAGGCCAAAAGCAAAACUUUGAAUUUGCAAAGAUUAGGGUAACCUAUCAUUUGUAUGUGUGUGUGCAUGUGCUCAAACUUGUGUGCAUUGAUGUUGACAGAGUUUAACUGUUUAGUUUUACAAUAUGGAAAACGGUCCUUAAGACACCUUGAAAGCGCCAGAAAUUAAAUCAACUACUAUGUAUUUGUUAACACAACCCCAUGUAUUAUUGGGUUAAUUAAUUAGGUCAUAUGGUGAUAAUCAAACGAAAAUUAGUACUUUUUAGAUUUUUUUUAUUGGUGUGAUAUUCCUGUAAUUAAUUCCAGGUAGACUGGGGAGAAGCAAGCAUGAUUGAGGCUGAGCGCAUAUUGCUUAGACAUGCGCUGGAGGAUCCUCAGAAUGAACGCUUUGUUUUCCUCUCAGACAGUUACAUGAUCUUCUCUCAGUUGCAUACCUCUUUACAACUUCAGCUACAUGUAUGACUACAUCAUGUCAACAUCAACUAGUUUUGUAGACAGCUUUGCUGAUACAAAAGAGGGCCGCUACAACCCAAAAAUGGCUUCAUCCAUUCCUGUUCGUAACUGGAGGAAAGGAUCUCAGUGGGUUGUUCUUACCAGAAAGCAUGCAGAGAUUGUAGUGAAUGACACUACAGUCUUUCCUAUGUUUCAACAGCAUUGCAAGAGGAGAUCGCUACCUGAGUUUUGGCGGGACCAACCCUUUCCAGCUGAUGCAGCCAAGGAGCACAAUUGUAUUCCUGAUGAACAUUAUGUACAGACAUUACUGGCUGUAAGAUGCAUUCUUAUACUUCUAUGCUGAGCCUUGUUUAAAAGAUGUUAUGUCUAUGUCCUUAAUGAUAUUAUGUUGUGUGUCUACAUUUUAAAUUUUUGUCGUGUAGUCGAAGAAGUUGGCUUUUAUUUAUUGUUUGACUUUUGUGUCAAUCUAUUAGUCCUGACUAGCUUUACCUCAUUGUUUUUGUUUAUUAUCUUUAUUGUUUUAAUUUCUUUAGUUCUGAAGUUUCUUUUAACUGUUCUUUUCAAUUUAACAAAUGGUUAGCAUACUGAGAAUCAGAUAAAAUUGAAUAGUUUCUACUUUCUAAUAAUUCUCAAAAAUUUUAUGCCUUCAAUCUUGGACUUCUUGUCAAUUUCACCUACAUGCAGACCUGAAGGUCACGAAGGGUCAAAUGCAUAGCAUUUGCAUUAGCAGGUCCUGAUCUACUAUAGCUACAACUUGUGAUGUUUAACUUUCUGCUGCUGAUAAGUCAAUAAAUAAUCAUGGAAUCAUGAAAGAAUAUUGUCAGUAAUUAUAAAUACCUCUUAAAAGUAAUUUAUGUUGUUUGUUUUCUAUGUAUUAUUUGUAUUCUAUAUACUGUUUGCAAUUCCUAUUCUUUGUAUUGUUUGCAACACCUUAUUGCAGCUGGUUGCUGCUGAGAAAGGCAGUUGACAUGCGGUUUAUGCUACCUUAUACAUAGCUAUUUAAGAACUGACCUUUUAGUCAGAGCUUAGAUGGUUCUAGGCCUUGGGAUUCUCCAACCAUGAACCUGAACGAAAAUAAUUAAUAAUUUAAGGGAAAGCAUGCUUAGCUUGUUAGUUUCACCUAUUUUAUAUAUUGCCUCUAAAGCAUUCAUUUUUUUUUCUUUCAAAAUUCAGCAAGAAGGCUUGGAAGGAGAAAUCACACGAAGGUCAUUGACGCAUAGUUCAUGGGAUCUUUCAUCCUCAAAAGACCCCGAGCGCCGUGGAUGGCAUCCUGUUACUUAUAAAUUCUCUGAUGCUACUCCCAAGCUUAUAAAAUAUAUUAAGGUAUUAGCCGAGUCUUUUUGGUAUUUGAACUAGUAAAUGUUCUGUCUUGUUAUUGUCCAUGUAUUAAGAACUUGUUGACGGGAUUUAGUUGCGCUAGUCUAGAUCUUUCUGCAGAAUUAGCUCCAAACUGGGUGGAAUGGAGGAAAAUGAUUCAUAUAGCCAGUCCCAAUAAGAUUGGGAUUAAGGUUGAGUAUGUUAACAAAAGUAGUGAUCACUUGAUUUUGUCACAUGGCAAAUGUUGCAUGUUGUUUGCCUGGUAUCAUCACCACCUCAACCUCUGCCAGCAUGAUACUGUUAUGCUGCCACUACCGUAGCUGUCACCUCGCAGACCAUCUUGAUUCUUGUUUUUAAAUUUAAUAAACUUGAUAACUUUGAAAUAAUUCCAUGUGUUUCUAGAAUCUGAAAAUCUUAUGUGUUCUUAUUUGUAUAAGAACUCACACUGCAUUAUGAUUUGUUCACAGUUUUUCCAGGUAAGUGUGGUGGAGAACAUACAUCAAUAGGACAUGCAUGGGACCAUCCGUAUCAGUGUUGUAGUUUCAAAGUAACUAUAAUAUGUUCUCAUCAUAUUUGCAUCUCUGAUAACGAAAUUGAAAUUAUAUUCCCCUAGUUUUCCAUUCCUGCAAUUUGAAUAACAUAGUUGGCAGCUGUUUUGAUAGAGUUCGAAGGUAAAUCUGUGUGCAAUUACUUUAGUGCAAUACAAGUCAUUUGCAUUAUCAAAUAAAUGGGAGAGGGAAACAUUUGUAAAGUUUCAAUUACCUUUGCAGGGCAUCGACAAUAUUUAUUACGAGACUGAAUAUCGAAGAGAGUGGUGCACCAGCAAAGGGAAACCAUCCACAUGCUUCCUUUUUGCAAGAAAAUUCACCCGUCCUGCUGCCCUUCGCCUUCUUAAUAUGUCUCUGCUGGGAGCUUCCCGUAAGGCACAAACAAGGCAUGAUUCUUAACAAUGCUGAAGUGGAUUUCUUCUGUAGGUACGAUGUUAGAUAUGAAUAGUUGGCCUUAGCCUAUAUGGAUAAAGGUAAUGCAAUAUGGGGUGAAGGUUAAUGAAGAGAGCUGUAAAUUAGAGUGGAAAUGAAAAAGAAAUAUCGGAAAAGAAAAAUAAAUUUUAAAUAUAGUGUAUUCUUUUUCUUUUUUCUUUUUUUUUUUAAUAAAAAAGACUGUCAUUAGACACUUCUGUGACACUCACAAUAGCAGUUGGAAGGAAGAAUAACUCGCAAAAUGCAUAGUACUAACAAGAAUUACUACUCUAUCAUACUAAAGAAAGUGCUUUCAGACAGCUAACUUAUUUUUGUGAUUACAAGUUCAACCACGUAUUCCUCGCCUCUCUCUCAGCUCCGGGUCCCUCUGAAUAUGAUCAAGAAUAAGGAGCCUCGGUCCAGGAGGGAUUUUGACAUCUCUAAGAGCACUAUCAGUCAGCAAUGGCAAAGUGCUGUCUGUCAACAACCCUUUCUUGAAAUUCUUCUCAUAAUUCUGGAGUCCAAGAUUAUUAAGCAUGGUUCUUGUUCUGGCAUAAUAUAUAUCUUCAGCUGGUGGUUGAGAGAAUUUUUGCCCCAACUGGAAAAGCCCACCUUGAACAAGUGCAAAAAAAAGUCCAGAAGUUAUUGCAUUUGCAGCCUGAUUUGGUCCACCCACGCCACUCACCAAUGAAAACAUAGCUCCGGAACCAAAAGCUGCUACCAUGCUGGACUGAACAUCCUCUUUGCCUCUCAAUCUUUUCAGGACACAGGAUAUGCCAGCAUUGACCCCCGUCAUGACAGCAAAGUUGCGAGCUUGUACCAAGGGACCCCCAGAUAGAGCCUAUUGUCAAAGUAAAUCUUUUUUAUAUAUGCAUAAGCAAAAACCUUGCAUAAACAGGACUAAACUUUUUCCGAAAGGAUGCCACCUUUUAGAAUGAGAGGGCAUUUGCACAGCUUCACAAAACCCAUUUGGUUAAGUGUUAAAAAUGGUACCUGGCAGCUGUUAGAGAACAGCUUGCUGUUCACAACAGCUCCAAUUUGGAGCUUCGAUGGUUAGUAUGAAUUGUAUGCAAUCUGAGGCAAACUAAUCUCUAUCGGCUGCAUAGUAAACUACCUACAAGUCAUAGUCUUUCUUGGAGUCAUGCUUUAAAAACAAAUCUUCUCCAUUAAAUCAAUUACCAAACACAAAUUUACUCCAUGGGUACAUCAAGAAAUUUGAGCAAGAAAUUCAAGAAAAUAUAAUCUCCUCAUUAAUUUCCCUAACAACUAUCAUACUCCAACUUCAGAGCAGCCAAAAGAGUCUGUAGCACAAAAUUAAUAAACAGACAACAAAAUUAGGUACCGCUGCAGAGAGAGAGGGAAAUUAAUACCUGGGCUUGCUGGAGAGAGGCCAUAGCCUGAGGGUUUAAGGAGGCCUGAGGAGGAGGAGUCGGGAGAGAGGAGGAGACAUCGUUGGUAAGGGUACCCAUGAAAGCACCAAUAGCGGCACCCUGAGCGGCGGAGGUGCCAGUGACGACAA